rnacentral:lncRNA from 1 species
CCUAUAGGGAUGCAGUGCAGUGGUCUAACUCUGCGAAGUGGCUUGGAGCCAUUAAAUCCAAAUUGAAGUCCAUGAAAAUCAAUAGUAUAUAGACGCUAGAUGAUUCACCUGAAGGGAUAAAACCUAUUAGGUGUGAAUGAAUUUUUCAAAAGGAUCAGAGUAGCGCAGACGGGAAGAGGGAGACCUAUAAAGCCUAUUUUUUCUAUUAUCCC